GGUGUACACUGUUAACGAUUUCUGUAAAUUACACUGUAUUUUACUGUAAUAUGAACUGUAUUUUACCGUAGGGCAUGUUAUACAGUAUGUUGCUGUAUUUUGAUGUUGCAUUGUGGGAAAUGUAAUCUUUGUGCCAGUAAAAUACUGUAUUUUCUGUUUACUGUAAAAUUUACAGUUAAUUAAAAAUACUGUAUUUUAAUGGCAGGUGGUGCUAAUUUGUUUUUUGGGGGAUUAACUCUCUGAUUAAGGUUUGGUGUCGUUGCAUAGUUAAGCCUAAAGGGGACUUUGAGUUAAUGUUGAGUGUCAAGCCUUACAAUCCAAUAUAGAAAGCUAUCUUAUACAAAUAAUGUAAUAUUAUUGUAUUUAAAUAUUGAUUUAAAAUGUAAAUUAAAAUUCAGAAGACUUAAACAAAGUCCUAAAAACAAUCAAACAACUAAAUUAGUGCAAGUAGAGCUGAUUUAUUUACCAAAACACAAUAUAAUCAUCUUCAUUAAAGCUUUGUAUAUUCCAAUUAAUUUACAAAUGUAAGUGUUUAAAAAUUAGAGAUAGGUUUUGCCGGUUGUUGAUGAGUGAUGAAUACCAGCUGUGAAUUUUCUCAACGCGUGUAAGCAGCCACGACACAGGAAACCGAAACAGUGUUCCAAUAUAAAGUGAGGGUCCUUGACAGUGGCCGAACCCGCAUACUACACGAUAUAAUGAUUCCCCACCUCGGGAGCUAUAGGGAACGAAUUGAGACACAGCCCUGGAUGUAAUCACGUCUGUGCUGAUCACGUGCCUGUACACAAACCCGCAGCUCACUUGCAAAAGAUUAUCCGGUUAUUUAUUACACGUAAAGUAAACGUUUUUAAUGUUAUCAUGAAUCAAUGUUAUAGUUUUGUAUGUCACAUUAUUUUUUGAGAAGAGUCAUGACUGAACGCGGACCUUACACGCUGUUAUUUUUUUGUGUGCGUAUGGCCAAGGUACAGUGCGCUCUUUUGCACUAUGACCAGCCAUCAGUAAAUCGAAAUACAGUAAAAAAAAUGAGCGCGAAACCCUGACACUUUACAGAAAGGCACGGAUCCCCGCCCGAAGAAAAAAAGAGCACAGGACAAUGGUUGCAAGUUAAACAGCUGAACAUUUCACCAUCUGCAAAGAACAUUUCACCAUCAACAUAUUAACAUAAACGGUUCUCUUUUUCUUGUUUGACUGCGUUUGGUACAGGUGAGUGUUCAUCUGAAAUGCUAGGCGACAAACUGAGCUUUUGUGUUUAACGCUAUUUUGAAGUCAGUCUCUCAGUUUCUCUCUAACAUGCACAUCUAACAAGGAAUAAUUGACGAUGGGUCGUUGAAUUAAAUUGAUAUAACUGCCAGUAACAAAAAGUGUGUGUGUGUGUUUGUGCGUGCGUGUGUGUGCGUGUGCAGGUCACAACAACGACGGCAGAUGUAGAUACCACGCUUUCCCUUGCUUCCACUCCACGGCUGAUCAUGCUUGAGGAUCCAGAUCUACAAAACAAAAAAUGGAUGCUGCCGAUUGAAGGCUAAGUCCGAUUUCCUGCGAUUGACCUACCAUUUCUUCAGCAUUUGCUGUUCACUUUGGUUGCUACGUGCUCAACAUCGAGUACCAUGUGCAAGCAGCCACUACUUUGGAGUUUAUUCAGAGAUUUAUUGUGAGGAUCAGCCCCGACAACAGCAAGUGCUCCUCUAACUUCCAGGUGAGCAAAAGAAGUGGGAAGAUGGUGCAAAGGAAGAACUCUGGCCUGAACCAUCAUGUAUAUAUCCACCUUUAUUAAGGACUUUAUGAAUUAAGCAAAACUAUUAAGCAACUAAAGCAAAUACAUUCUACUCAACUCACCAGAGGUUUGUGAAGUUCUUUUUUUUCUUAAAGGUUUCUUUUAGUUAAUUUGUCCAUGCACUGAUUUAUAAUAUUGUAAUAUGAAACUCCAGUGUAUACAUGUUACUACUGUUGCUUCUAAAAGCAAAAUAAGUCUAUGCAGGAGAGGUUUUGUUACGUUUUUUUUUUAAAUUAUUCUUAUAGACGGUUUCAUCGGACGCACAUGACAGACGUCUGGAUCCGAUCCUUACUUCCAGUUUCGCUUUUUUAAUGGUCUGACUAGUUGC